rnacentral:lncRNA from 1 species
UUAUCGAAUACUAUAUGCACUUGCCUUGCAGCUUUGGAUGAACAUUUUUUUUUUUUUUUUUAGUUUGUAUCAAAGUGCGACUUAUGUAAUUUGGGAAUAGAGUAGGCUGUGUGUAACUUUAUUUUUGGAACAGUCGUUGGUGUUUACGGCGAAUCGUCAUAGUCGAGAGGCACGAAGUGGACAAUUUGCAAAUUCAUAAAUGCGUCGGUAAUAUCAAUAGCGUUACUUUUUCACUAGUGGAAGAUUUGUCAAAAUGUCAUCCUUGGGCGAAUUGCCAAAGUUACUUUUGAUUAAAAAUAGCUUUCGUAAACGGAAGAGACGUUUAUUAUAAAGGAAGUGACGAAUCGAUUUUCAAAUUUCUUAUCGAAACAGAAAACCCCCUUUCUUUUUUUCUCUUUCUUUCAUUUUGAUAGUAUGUUAAGCUGCAUUUGAAGUUAUACUUUUUUGUCCGAUAAUUAAUUAUGCUAAGUUAAACAUCCGUCAGUUUUUCUCUAUCGAUUUUGAAGUCUGAGAAUUGCUCCCAUAAAUUGGCUUCGUUUUUCGAACUGGAUACGAGCCAAUUAUAAAUUUUAUCCCUGUUCCUGUUGUUUGUGGGAUCGAGUUCGACCUUGAUCAUAUGUCGCUAACCGUAUAAAAUGUGUAGGUGGACACGAUUUAUACCAUCUGCAGGUUUUGACACUUUACCCUUUCUGUUGUGUGGGACACAAAAAUCCCUGAAUAAUCACGAUUAUCUACCGCAUAUAUGUAAGCAUGAAGGGUUGGUAAACUUGUUUUUAAACAUGUUUUCGAACAGUAAUAAAAAAGUUCAGUAUCUUAAAACGAGCCGAAACAAAAGCUCACUAUCUUAAACUCUAAAUAAAGAAACGGAAUAAAUUUUGGCACGAGACCGCUUGCAGAAUCCACAGAACGAUUGUAAAAUCUACCAAGUUUAUACUACACAUUGAAGUAUAUUAUCCAAGUUGUGCAGGGAAGAACACUGUGCGAACUAAAAUAAACUUCUCUUCUAAUCAUUUUUUUCUUUGUUAAUUAAAACAAUAUUCCAGACCGAAGCCAAGCAAUAACUUCGUGUUUAUUGAAAUUUAAGUGGUAUAAACUAUUUCCAAAUGGAAAAGCCAACAAUAAGAAGAGUGGCGAGGAGUUUCUCCUAAAAGUUCGUCGACCGUUGUCAUAACAACCAACGCACGAUCGAAACUCACUAUGCUGAUUUUUAUUGUCCUCUUUCAGUUUUUAUUUGAAUGCCUUCUAUAAGUGAAAAAUUCCUUCUAAUUAUAGUUUGCUUUAGAAUAGAGUAAGAAAAUGUAUUAAUCUCCUUUUAUUUAGUCAAGUUUAACAGAUACGAAAAUCGAUAUUCGUAAUCUGGUAGAUUAAGAGCAUUGAUCAUCCUUGCAGCCUCCAUGCUUUUCAAACUUCUCGACAACUUUUUUACUCUAUCGGCUUGUAAAAAAAAAAAAAAACCCAUAUAAAAAUGCUACACUCACUAAUCCUACAUUAAAAAAUGUCAUCUGCAUUAAUGCCCGUAAUUUUUAAAA